AUUGGGGCCCAUAGGGACCCCGUAGAGCCCCAUAGGGACCCAAUAACAGCCCUACAGUGACCCCAUAGAGCCCUAUAGUGAUCCCAUCGAGCCCCACAGUGACCCCAUAGAGCCCCAUAGUGACCCCAUAGAGCUCCAUAGUGACCCCAUAACAGCCCCAUAGUGACCCCAUAGAGCUCCAUAGUGACCCCAUAAAAGCCCCACAGAGACCCCAUAGAGCUCCAUAGUGACCUCAUAACAGCCCCAUAGUGACCCCAUCGAGCCCCAUAGGGACCCCAUAACAGCCCCAUAGCGACCCUAUAGAGCUUAAUAGAGCCCCACAGUGACCUCAUAGAGCCCCAUAGGGACCCCAUAACAGCCCCAUAGCGACCCUAUAGAGCUCAAUAGGGACCCCAUAUACCUCCACGGUGACCCCAUAGAGCCCCAUAGCGACCUCAUAGAGCUCCACAGUGACCCCAUAGAACCCCAUAGUGACCCCAUAACAGCCCCAUAGUGACCCCAUAGAACCCCAUAGUGACCCCAUAGAGCUCCAUAGGGAUAUGGGGAGGUUUGAGGUGGAAGGGUCCUGGAAGGUCACAGAGAUACGGACUGGUUGCUGUGGAAGGGUCCUGGAAGGUCACAGAGCUAUGGAGUGGUUUGGAUAGAAGGGUCCUGGAAGGUCACAGCAAUACGGGGUGGUGGGGCUGGAAGGGUCCUGGAAGGUCAUCACUGAAUGGGUUUUAUUGGAAGGGUCCUGGAAGGUCAUCACUGAAUGGAUGGGAUUGGAAAGGUCCUGGAAGGUCAUCUCUGAGUGGGUUGGAUUGGAAAGGUCCUGGAAGGUCUCUGGGAGUGGGUUGGAUUGGAAGGGUCCUGGAAGGCCAUCACUGAACGGGUUGGACUGGAAGGGUCCUGGAAGGUCAGUACUGAAUGGAUGGGGUUGGAAAGGUCCUGGAAGGUCAUUACUGAACAGAUUUAAUUAGAAGGGUCCUGGAAGGUCAUUACUGAAUGGAUGGGAUUGGAAAGGUCUUGGAAGGUCAUCACUAUGCGGGUGGGAUUAGAAGGGUCCUGGAAGGUCACUUCUGAGAGGGUUUGAUUAGAAAGGUCCUGGAAGGUCAUCACUGAAUGGGUUUUAUUGGAAGGGUCCUGGAAGGUCAUCACUGAGUGGGUUGGACUGGAAGGGUCCUGGAAGGUCAUCACUGAACGGGUUGGACUGGAAGGGUCCUGGAAGGUCAUCACUGAAUGGAUGGGAUUGGAAAGGUCCUGGAAGGUCAUCACUGAGUGGGUUGGAUUGGAAAGGUCCUGGAAGGUCGUUGUAGAGUGGGUUGGAUUGGAAGGGUCCUGGAAGGUCAUCACUGAACGGGUUGGACUGGAAGGGUCCUGGAAGGUCAUCACUGAAUGGAUGGGAUUGGAAAGGUCCUGGAAGGUCAUCACUGAAUGGAUGGGAUUGGAAGGGUCCUGGAAGGUCAUCACUGAAUGGAUGGGAUUGGAAAGGUCCUGGAAGGUCUCAUUAAAUGGACGGGAUUGGAAAGGUCCUGGAAGGUCAUCACUGAAUGGAUGGGGUUGGAAAGGUCCUGGAAGGUCAUCACUGAAUGGAUGGGGUUGGAAAGGUCCUGGAAGGUCAUCACUGAACAGAUUUAAUUAGAAGGGUCCUGUAAGGUCAUUACUGAAUGGAUGGGAUUGGAAAGGUCCUGGAAGGUCAUCACUGAAUGGAUGGGAUUGGAAAGGUCCUGGAAGGUCAUCACUGAAUGGAUGGGAUUGGAAGGGUCCUGGAAGGUCAUCACUGAAUGGGUGGGGUUGGAAAGGUCCUGGAAGGUCAUCACUGAAUGGAUGGGGUUGGAAAGGUCCUGGAAGGUCAUCACUGAGUGGGUUUUAUUGGAAGGGUCCUGGAAGGUCAUCACUGAAUGGAUGGGGUUGCAAAGGUCCUGGAAGGUCAUCACUGAACGGUUUUUAUUAGAGGGGUCCUGAAAGGUCAUCACAGAGGGGGUUGAAGGGUCCUGGAAGGUCAUCACUGAAUGGGUUUUAUUGGAAGGGUCCUGGAAGGUCAUCACUGAGUGGGUUGGACUGGAAGGGUCCUGGAAGGUCAUCACUGAAUGGAUGGGGUUGGAAAGGUCCUGGAAGGUCAUCACUGAACGGGUUGGACUGGAAGGGUCCUGGAAGGUCAUUACUGAAUGGAUGGGGUUGGAAAGGUCCUGGAAGGUCAUCACUGAAUGGAUGGGGUUGGAAAGGUCCUGGAAGGUCAUCACUGAACAGAUUUAAUUAGAAGGGUCCUGGAAGGUCAUGACUGAAUGAAUGGGAUUGGAAAGGUCCUGGAAGGUCAUCACUGAGCGGGUUGGACUGGAAGGGUCCUGGAAGGUCAUCACUGAACGGGUUUUAUUGGAAGGGUCCUGGAAGGUCACCACUGAGUGGGUUUUAUUGGAAAGGUCCUGGAAGGUCUCUGGGAGAGGGACGGCGGCGCGCCGUGACGCCUCCCAUUGGCGCGCUCCUACCGGAAGUCCCGCCCCCCGCGCAUGCGCAGUGGGAUCCGCGGCGCGCCUGUGAGAUCGGGCGGUUCCGGGAGGAGCGGUGAGAGCGCAGUUGUGGGGCUGAGGCCCUCCCGGAGGUGCCGCUAUGGGGCUGCUGUCCGACCCACAGUGCCGCCGUCUGCUCAGCCGCCUCCUGCAGCGCUUCAAUGUGCCCCUAUGGUGCGUCACGGCCCCAUACGGCCCUAUAUGGCCCCAUAGAGCCCCAUAAGGCCCUGUGUGGCCCCAUAUGGCCUCAUAUGGCCCCAUAGAGCCCCAUACGGCCCCAUAUAGCCUCAUAUGGCCUUAUAUAGCCCCAUAUAGUCCCAUUUGGCCUCAUACGGCCCCAUAUAGCGUCAUAUGGCCCCAUUUGGCCCCAUAUAGUCCUAUAUGGCCCCAUAUAGCACCAUACAGUCCCAUAUGGCCUCAUAUGGCCCCAUUUGGCCCUAUAUAGUCCUAUAUGGCCCCAUAUAGCCCAUAUGGCCCCAUAUAGCCCCAUACGGCCCCAUAUAGCCUCAUAUGGCCCCAUUUGGCCCCAUAUAGUCCCAUCUGGCCCCAUACGGCCCCAUUUGGGCCCAUAUAGUCCUAUAUGGCCCCAUAGAGCCCCAUACGGCCCCAUAUAGCCUCAUAUGGCCUUAUAUAGCCCCAUAUAGUCCUAUUUGGCCCCAUAUGGCCCCAUUUGGCCUCAUACGGCCCCAUAUAGCGUCAUAUGGCCCCAUUUGGCCCCAUAUAGUCCUAUAUGGCCCCAUAUAGCACCAUACAGUCCCAUAUGGCCUCAUAUGGCCCCAUUUGGCCCUAUAUAGUCCUAUAUGGCCCCAUAUAGCCCAUACGGCCCCAUAUAGCCUCAUAUGGCCCCAUUUGGCCCCAUACGGCCCCAUUUGGCCCCAUAUGGCCUCAUACGGCCCCAUUUGGGCCCAUAUAGUCCUAUAUGGCCGCAUAUAGCCCCAUACAGUCCCAUAUGGCUCCGUAUGGCCCCAUAUGGCCCCAUUUGGCCCCAUACAGCCCCAUAUAGCCCCAUACAGUCCCAUGCGGCCCCAUAUGGCUCCAUGCGGCCCCAUAUGGCUCCAUACGGCCUCAUAUGGCCCCAUAUAGCCUCAUAUGGCCCCAUUUGGCCCCAUUUGGCCCCAUAUAGCCCCAUACAGCCCCAUAUGAACCAAUGUAGCCCCAAUAAAGCCCCAUAAGGCCCUAUACGAACCUGUAUAGCCCCAUAUGGCCCCAUAUAGCCCCAUACAGUCCCAUAUGGCUCCGUACAGCCCAAUAUGGCCCCAUAUGGCUCCGUACAGCCCUAUAUGGCCACAUAGAGCCCCAUAAGGCCCUGUAUGGCCCCAUAUGGCCUCAUGUGGCCCCAUAGAGCCCCAUACGGCCCCAUAUAGCCUCAUAUGGCCCCAUUUGGCCUUAUAUAGCCCCAUAUAGUCCUAUAUGGCCCCAUAUAGCACCAUACAGUCCCAUACAGUCCCAUAUGGCUCCGUAUGGCCCCAUAUGGCCUCAUAUGGCCCCUUUUGUCCCCAUAUAGUCCUACAUGGCCCCAUAUAGCCCCAUACAGCCUCAUACGGCCCGAUUUAGCCCCAUAUAGUCCUAUAUGGCCGCAUAUAGCCCCAUACAAUCCCAUAUAGCCCCAUAUAGUCCCAUCUGGCCCCAUACGGCCCCAUUUGGCCCCAUAUGGCCUCAUACGGCCCCAUUUGGGCCCAUAUAGUCCUAUAUGGCCGCAUAUAGCCCCAUACAGUCCCAUAUGGCUCCGUAUGGCCCCAUAUGGCCCCAUACAGCCCCAUAUAGCCCCAUACAGUCCCAUGCGGCCUCAUAUGGCCCCAUUUGGCCCCAUAUAGCCCCAUACAGCCCCAUAUGAACCAAUGUAGCCCCAAUAAAGCCCCAUAAGGCCCUAUACGAACCUGUAUAGCCCCAUAUGGCCCCAUAUAGCCCCAUACAGUCCCAUAUGGCUCCGUACAGCCCAAUAUGGCCCCAUAUGGCUCCGUACAGCCCUAUAUGGCCCCAUAGAGCCCCAUACAGCCCUGUAUGGCCCCAUAUGGCCUCAUAUGGCCCUAUUUGUCCCCAUAUGGCCCCAUAUAGCCUCAUAUGGCCCCAUAUGGCCUUAUAUAGCACCAUAUAGUCCUAUAUGGCCCCAUAUAGCACCAUACAGUCCCAUACGGCCCCAUGCGGCCCCAUAUGGCCCCAUACGGCCCCAUAUGGCCCCAUAUAGCCUCAUAUGGCCCCAUUUGGCCCCAUACGAACCCAUAUGGCCCCACAUGGUCCCAUACAGCCCCAUACGACCCCAUUUGGUCUCAUAUGGCCAAUACGGCCCCAUACAGCCCCAUAAGGCCCCAUGCAGUCCCAUACGGCCCCAUAAGGCCCCAUACAAACCCAUACAGCCCCAUAUGGCCCCAUAUAGCCCCAUACGUCCCCAUACAGCCACGUAAGGCCUCAAACGGCUCCAUACAGCCCCAGUUGGCCCUAUAAGGCCCCAUAUAGUCACGUAAGGCCCCAUAGGGUCCCAUAUGGCCCCAUACGGCCCCAUAAAACCUCGUAAGGCCCCAUAUAGCCCCAUAAGACCUCAUAAGACCCCAUAAAGCCCCAUGUAGCCCCAUACAGCCUCAUAUGGCCUCAUAUGGUCUCAUACAGCCCCAUAUGGCCCCAUACGUUCUUAUAUAACCCCAUAUAUCCCUAUAUGUGCUUAUAUGACCCCACAUAUCCCCAUAUGUCCCCAUACAACUCUAUAUGACCCCAUAUGUCCCCAUACGUCCCUAUAUGACCCCAUAUAUCUGCAUACGUCCGUAUAUGGCCCCAUAUGUUCCCAUACGUCCCUGUAUGGCCCUAUAUAUCCCCAUACGUCCCCAUGCGUCCCUAUACGACCCCAUAUAUCCCCAUACGUGCCGAUACAUCCUUAUAUGAUCCCAUAUAUCCCUGUAUGUCCCCAUAUGUUCCUAUAUGACCCCAUAUAUCCCAGUAUGUCCCCAUAUGUCCCUAUAUGACCCCAUACAUCUCCAUAUAUCCCUAUACGUCCCCAUAUGACCCUAUAAACCCCCGUAUGACCCCAUAUGAUCCCAUAUAUCCUCAUACGCCGGUAUGUGGCCCCAUAUAUCCCUGUAUGUCCCCAUAUGUCCCUAUAUGACCCCAUAUAUCCCCAUAUAUCCCUAUACGUCCCCAUAUGACCCUAUAAACCCCCAUAUGACCCCAUAUGAUCCCAUAUAUCCUCAUACGCCGGUAUGUGGCCCCAUAUAUCCCUGUAUGUCCCCAUAUGUCCCUAUAUGACCCCAUAUAUCCCUAUAUGACUUCAUAUAUCCCCAUAUAUCCCUAUAUGUCCCUAUAUGACCCUAUAAACCCCCAUAUGACCCCAUAUGAUCCCAUAUAUCCUCAUAUGCCGGUAUGUGGCCCCAUAUAUCCCUGUAUGUCCCCAUAUGUUCCUAUAUGACCCCAUAUAUCCCAGUAUGUCCCCAUACGUCCCUAUAUGACCCCAUAUAUCCCUAUAUGACCCCAUACAUCCCCAUAUAUCCCUAUACGUCCCCAUAUGACCCUAUAAACCCCCAUAUGACCCCAUAUGAUCCCAUAUAUCCUCAUAGGCCGGUAUGUGACCCCAUAUGUCCCCACAUGACCCCAUACACCCCCAUACGUCCCCACCCCAUAACCCUGCCCCACCCCACAUCACCCCAUAACUGCCCCUAUACCCCACAACCCCACGCUACAUCACCCCAUAAGUGCCCCCAAAAUACCCAUCACCCCAUAACUGACCCUAUAGACCCCCCAUACCCCACCCUCAACCCCCCCCACCCCAUAACUGCC
ensembl:lncRNA